rnacentral:lncRNA from 10 species
GAACCACAGGCACCCGCUGCCACGCCCAGCUAGUUUUUUGUAUUUUUUAGUAGAGACAGGGUUUCACCGUGUUAGCCAGGAUGGUCUCGAUCUCCUGACCUCGUGAUCCGCCCGCCUCGGCCUCCCAAAGUGCUGGGAUUACAGGUGUGAGCCACCGUGCCCGGCCGGGAGAAGACACCUUCCUAAAGGAGAUGAAGAGUUGUUUUGCUAGAACUUUCUGACAGCCAGAACUGCUGGUGGAAGGUGUGCCGAGCCCGUUGCUUUUCUGGGCAAGUCAGAGCGCCAGAGUCAGUCUUCCAACCCCCUGCCUUACUGGGCACAGAGGUGCCUCUGUAGAAGUGAAGAAAUGACUGAAGAAAUGAAGCAGAAGGGGAGAUGAGCGUGAACGCAACUGCGGGUCUUGGCACUUAAGACAGCUGACUAGAAGUUGCUGGAAGAGUGAGGCAGAGCAGGGAUGGCUUCCCGGAGGAAGAGGCGUUAAAGCAGAUCAUGAGGACUUUAAUGAGCAAAGAUGUGAGUUGGGACUUUGGAGCAAAGUCUGAAGACACAAAAACACAGAAACACAUAAAGUAGGCUGAGGUGGAUGGAGCCAUGUGAGAGGAGGGGUAGGCUCCUGACCCUACCUGGAGGUCCUGAACGCCAGAUGGAGCAUUGUGGAUGGUCUCCAGAUGGGCACUUUCAGCAGAGGUUUUGAAGAGAUCCCUCUGGUUGCUUUGUGGACUGACUGGGGCAGGCCUGGAGGCAGGGAGGCUGCCAGGGGGGCUGUGGCCAAGGUCUGGGUGGAGGUUAUGGAGCCUGAAUAGCUGCAGGUUGUGGAGGACAAUACAGGUUCCCAGUCUGAUGGGUCUCCUCCAGGAACAGGGAACUCACCACCUCCUGGGCAGCAGUUCUCCCCAUUGGGUAGCUCUGCAGCAAGAUCUUCCCUGCAUAGGGCUCAAGCCUUUCUGGGGUGAUGUGUGGGUACAGGGAUUGGGAAGAAGAUUCCAUUCAUUAUGCUGGGGGUACCCAUGAGGACGGAAACUUGGGGGAAAGUUUGGGACCACUGAGUUCAAACUGAGAGCCUUGGUGAAGAGGCUCUCUAACCUCUCUGUAUGACCCCCAGGGUAACCUGACCAGAUCAGACACUCAGCCGGGCACCCUGGGUCAGUGUGGGCAUGCGGAAGCUCCUUAACUGGCCCCAGAAAAGCAGCAGAGCAAGCAGAAAGAUAUUUGCACAACUGGAGGUUUUAGGCACAUAUUUAUUUUAUUUUUUUUAAUAUAAAAGUAAAAGAGUACAUUGUUGAGUAGAGGAUUAAAGGAGUGACGACCCUUUCUAAAGUGGGGUCUCCCAUCCCGGAUCCCUAAGACUGUAACAUCUGCUACAUACAUUAAAAACAAAACAAAACAAAAGCAAACAUGAAAC